CUUCAUCAGUGGUGCUUGCAGCAAGCAGCAUAAGCAUUUGAAGUACUGCGAUUAUCUGAAUGGUAUGUACAGAAAACUGCCAUGCUCUGAGUAUAUGAUUCUGGUGUUGCAGAAUAUACUUUAUUUAAACUUCUGUAAUGUGAUGGACUCUUGCAGAAGGAUGACAUGGACAAAUUGGAAAAUGUAAGGUUUCAUGCGUUGUUCCCUCAGCACGCCUGCUCUGACCCGAGGCAGAGGUGUGGAGGCUCUCGCAGGAACACCGGAGCUGAACGAACUUUGACAGAUCGUCUCUUCUGAGGAGUCGGGCCCUGCGCAGCCGCCUCUCCGUGCCGUGCUCGAGGCCAUCCAUCACCGGGAAGGAGACUUGCCCGUGUGUGAUGACGCUAAUUUUCUGACUGAAAAAGCAGACGUGCGGUGUGCUUUCCCAUAAGCAGUGUCAUGGUCUUYGUACCACGUGCAGCCAGCUGCUGAGUAAGGGUUUGAGCCAAAGCCCACUGAGUCAGAGGGAACCUCUCCUCGGACAUCAGGAGCCUCCAGAGCCCUUCUGCAGGGGCUCAAUGUCUUUAAGCAAUAACUUUAUACAGUGAAGGAUGCUGAUUUGGCCAGUAACCUUCAGAAGAGGCUUCAGAAGGUUAUACCCAGCUUCUACUUCUGAAUAGUCUAGCUUUGAUUUUCCUCACAGUUCCACUGAAGAAACCCGUUAGUAUCUUGUUUGCCCUGUUUUGUAUCAUACUAUGAUUUUUUGAUUUUGUUGCCAACACCUUUCUCAUAGUUUUUGGAGACAAACCAAUAGCUUUAAAGAUUAAUAGCCUGCCAAAAUGCCUGCAGGAUCUCCACAUCUGAUAAAAUAACUACCCAUAAUUUACAAAUCUUUUAAAUUUGGAAGCACAUGUGGACCACGGCAAAAGAACUUCUGUUUUAACAGAGUAGAGAACUCUUUUCAGUGUUUUUUGUAAGAAUAAUCUCUAUACUUUCAGGACAUUGUUCAGUCUUUCUUACUAGCUCUGAUGAAAGUGAAACCUUUGCAUUAGCUCUGUAGUAAGACACAACUCAGACAAUUGUUUGUUCCUUAAUUUCUGGUGAAGAAAGUUGUAGGUUUUAUGUAUGCUCAACAGAAGGUGUGGCUCUUAGUGUUAUAUAAAGACUGAAAACAAGUAAUCUUUGAAAA
rnacentral:lncRNA from 1 species